AAAUAAAAAAAAAUCUCGUCUGAUCUCGGAAGCUAAGCAGGGUCGGGCCUGGUUAGUACUUGGAUGGGAGACCGCCUGGGAAUACCAGGUACUGUAAUCUU
rnacentral:rRNA from 1 species